UACGGAAGGUGCGAGCGUUGUUCGGAAUGACUGGGCGUAAAGCGCACGUAGGCGGUUUUGUAAGUCGGAUGUGAAAUCCCUGGGCUCAACCCGGGAACUGCAUCCGAAACUACUAAACUUGAAUGCUUAAGAGGUUGGUGGAAUUCCUGGUGUAGGAGUGAAAUCCGUAGAUAUCAGGAGGAACAUCGGAGGCGAAGGCGGCCAACUGGUGAUGCAUUGACGCUGAGGUGCGAAAGCGUGGGGAGCGAACAGG
rnacentral:rRNA from 1 species